rnacentral:misc_RNA from 1 species
GAUGAAGAACGUAGCGAAAUGCGAUAAGUAAUGUGAAUUGCAGAAUUCAGUGAAUCAUCGAAUCUUUGAACGCACAUUGCGCCCCCUGGUAUUCCGGGGGGCAUGCCUGUUCGAGCGUCAUUUCAACCCUCAAGCUCUGCUUGGUAUUGAGUCCAUGUCAGCAAUGGCAGGCUCCAAAAUCAGUGGCGGCGCCGCUGGGUCCUGAACGUAGUAAUAUCUCUCGUUACAGGUGCUCGGCGUGCUUCUGCCAAACCCCCAAUUUUUCUAUGGUUGACCUCGGAUCAGGUAGGGAUACCCGCUGAACUUAAGCAUAUCAAUAAGCGGAGGA